rnacentral:rRNA from 1 species
CGAGUGAAGCGGGAACAGCUCAAAUUUGAAAUCUGGCCCUUGGGUCCGAGUUGUAAUUUGCAGAGGAUGCUUUUGGUGCGGUGCCUUCCGAGUUCCCUGGAACGGGACGCCUUAGAGGGUGAGAGCCCCGUACGGUUGGCCACCAAGCCUGUGUAAAGCUCCUUCGACGAGUCGAGUAGUUUGGGAAUGCUGCUCAAAAUGGGAGGUAUAUUUCUUCUAAAGCUAAAUACUGGCCAGAGACCGAUAGCGCACAAGUAGAGUGAUCGAAAGAUGAAAAGCACUUUGAAAAGAGGGUUAAAUAGCACGUGAAAUUGUUGAAAGGGAAGGAUUUAUGACCAGACUUUUUCUAGGGGGAUCAUCCGGUGUUCUCACCGGUGCACUUCCCCUAGUUGAGGCCAGCAUCGGUUUCUGUCGGGGGAUAAAAGCUUCAGGAAUGUGGCUCCCUCCGGGGAGUGUUAUAGCCUGUUGCAUAAUACCCUGACGGGGACCGAGGUUCGCGCAUUGCAAGGAUGCUGGCGUAAUGGUUAUUAAUCACCCGUCUUGAAACACGGACCAAGGAGUCGAACAUUUGUGCGAGUGUUUGGGUGUUAAACCCUCACGCGUAAUGAAAGUGAACGGAGGUGAGAGCCCUUCGGGGUGCAUCAUCGACCGAUCCUGAUGUCUUCGGAUGGAUUUGAGUAAGAGCAUAACUGUUCGGACCCGAAAGAUGGUGAACUAUGCGUGGAUAGGGUGAAGCCAGAGGAAACUCUGGUGGAGGCUCGCAGCGGUUCUGACGUGCAAAUCGAUCGUCAAAUCUGC